rnacentral:lncRNA from 1 species
GAAAAUGGAUGGAUGUGACUGCUGUCCAUGCAGGUACCACUUGGAAAAACUGUACAGGAACAGCUUAGCAAGUGAUCUCUUCACCACGGUCUGCUUGGUGUGUCUGUUUAAUCUGAAUGGUGACGGAGGGUUGGAAAGGCAGAAGAGGAUGAACUUCCACUUCCAAAUGGUCAACAACAGAAAUGAGAGAUCUGUACAUGGAGACAACUAGCACAGGUUACCCAAAGGCUGGAUUAAAAAGCAAAGACAAAAGCUCAUCAUUGAUGAAGUGGAGCCUCGUCAUGUGAGGUGCCAUAGCAGCACAGACUAAACACACUCUUCCUGCUGCAGGAUGCUUGCAGUGUCAGAGCAGGCAAAGCUUAAGUAAAGCAAAGGAGAGCACAAGG